CCAAAGGCUCUUUUAAGAGCCAACCACUUCUACCUAAAAAGAGCUGU
rfam:Alligator mississippiensis ScZkoYb_5, whole genome shotgun sequence.